rnacentral:rRNA from 1 species
GAUGAACGCUGGCGGCGUGCUUAACACAUGCAAGUCGAACGGAAAGGCCCAAGCUUGCUUGGGUACUCGAGUGGCGAACGGGUGAGUAACACGUGGGUGAUCUGCCCUGCACUUCGGGAUAAGCCUGGGAAACUGGGUCUAAUACCGGAUAGGACGAUGGUUUGGAUGCCAUUGUGGAAAGUUUUUUCGGUGUGGGAUGAGCUCGCGGCCUAUCCGCUUGUUGGUGGGGUAAGGGCCUACCAAGGCGUCGACGGGUAGCCGGCCUGAGAGGGUGUACGGCGACAUUGGGGCUGAGGUACGGCCCAGACUCCUACGGGAGGCAGCAGUGGGGAAGAUUGCACAAUAGGCGCAAGCCUGAUGCAGCGAGGCCGCGUGGGGGAUGACGGCCUUCGGGUUGUAAACUCCUUUCGCUAGGGACGAAGCGUUUUUGUGACGGUACCUGGAGAAGAAGCACCGGCUAACUACGUG